rnacentral:sRNA from 1 species
GGGCAGUCAUCGCCGAGUCCCCAUGGCGCGAGCCAGGGGAGCCGGGGACCCUCCUUUCCGCACCUCACCGGUGCGGGACGGGCCGCCCCACACCGCCGACGGCGGUACGGGAACGGUCCGGUCCCUUGGGGUGAAUCGGGCGCCUCCCCCGAGGGGCCCGUAGGAGACCUUCCUGCUCCGAACCCGUCAGCUAACCCGGUAGGCGAGAAGGAAGGAAAG